GUGUACCAGGCCCCAGAGGCAGCGGAAAGGGAGACUGUGGGGAACUAGGAGCAACAGCAGCAUGGACCAAAGCAGUGAAGGAUGUAUGAAAAAGAUUAGCAGUGUGAAUCUUGACAAACUUAUAAAUGACUUCUCACAGAUAGAAAAGAAAUGGUAGAAACCAAUGGAAAGAACAAUAUACUGGAUAUUCAGUUGGAAAAAAGUAAUUGCCUAUUAAAAGUAAUGCAAGCAAAGGAGGUCUCCAUUAAAGAAGAUGUGCUACUCUUCAUAAUAUAAUAAAAGGGCUACAACAGACCAUUGAAUAUCAACAGAAUUUGAAAGUGAAAAUGAACAACUAAAAAUAAGUGCUGAUCUUAUAAAAGAGAAGUUAAAGUCUCAUGAACAGAAUAUAAGAAUAAUAUUGCCAAACUUGUAAGUGAAAUGAAAAUCAAAGAGGAGGGAUAUAAGAAAGAAAUAAGCAAACUUUAUCAGGACAUGCAGAGAAAAGUGAAUUAAAUGAAGAAAAGCACAAAGAACUAAUAGAGAAAAAGGAGAUGGAAAUUUCAGAGUUAAA
rnacentral:lncRNA from 1 species